rnacentral:rRNA from 1 species
AGUGGCGCACGGGUGAGUAACGCGUAGACACCUACCCCUCGGUGGGGAAUAACCACGGGAAACCGUGGCUAAUACCGCAUAAUGCCGCAUGGCCAAAGUUUUAACGCCAAGGGAUGGGUCUGCGUCGGAUUAGCUAGUUGGUAGGGUAAUGGCCUACCAAGGCAACGAUCCGUAGCGGGUCUGAGAGGAUGAUCCGCCACACUGGCACUGAGACACGGGCCAGACUCCUACGGGAGGCAGCAGUGAGGAAUAUUGCGCAAUGGAGGCAACUCUGACGCAGCCACGCCGCGUGCAGGAAGACACCCUCAGAGGCGUAAACUGCUUUUAUACGGGAAGAAUGCCCUGGUUUCCAGGGAGUGACGGUACCGUACGAAUAAGGACCGGCUAACUCCGUGCCAGCAGCCGCGGUAAUACGGAGGGUCCAAGCGUUGUCCGGAAUCACUGGGUGUAAAGGGUGCGCAGGCGGGCGUGUAAGUCAGGGGUGAAAGCCACCGGCCUAACCGGUGAACUGCCCUUGAUACUGCACGUCUUGAAUCUCGGAGAGGCUGUCGGAAUUCGUGGUGUAGCGGGUGAAUGCGUAAAUAUCACGAGGGACACCAGAUGCGUAGGCGGACAGCUGGACGAGUAUUGACGCUCAGCACGAAAGCGUGGGAAGCGACAGAAUAGAUACCUUGGUAGUCCACGCCGU